UACGAAGGGUGCAAGCGUUAUCCGGAAUUAUUGGGCGUAAAGAGCUCGUAGGCGGUUUGUCGCGUCUGCUGUGAAAUCCCGAGGCUCAACCUCGGGCUUGCAGUGGAUACGGACAGACUAGAGGUAGGUAGGGGAGAAUGGAAUUCCCGGUGUAGCGGUGAAAUGCGCAGAUAUCGGGAGGAACACCGGUGGCGAAGGCGGUUCUCUGGGCCUUACCUGACGCUGAGGAGCGAAAGCGUGGGGAGCGAACAGG
rnacentral:rRNA from 1 species